CUACGGGCUGCUGCAGUAGGGAAUUUUCGUCAAUGGGGGGAACCCUGAACGAGCAAUGCCGCGUGAGCGAAGAAGGUCUUCGGAUCGUAAAGCUCUGUUGUAAGAGAAAAACAAUGACCAUAGGAAAUGAUGGUCAUAUGAUGGUAUCUUACCAGAAAGUCACGGCUAACUACGUGCCAGCAGCCGCGGUAAUACGUAGGUGGCGAGCGUUAUCCGGAAUGAUUGGGCGUAAAGGGUGCGUAGGCGGCAAGAUAAGUCUGAAGUCAAAGCUGGCAGCUCAACUGUCAUACGCUUUGGAAACUGUCUGGCUAGAGUGCAGAAGAGGGCAAUGGAACUCCAUGUGUAGCGGUAAAAUGCGUAGAUAUAUGGAAGAACACCGGUGGCGAAGGCGGUUGCCUGGUCUGUAACUGACGCUGAGGCACGAAAGCGUGGGGAGCAAAUAGGAUUAGAUACCCCGGUAGUC
rnacentral:rRNA from 1 species